rnacentral:lncRNA from 1 species
GUAAAAUGGACCAAUCAGUGCUCUGUAAAGUGGACCAAUCAGCAGGACAUGGGCGGGGCCAAACAAGGGAAUAAAAGCUGGCCACUGCAGUCAGCAGUGGCAACCUGCUUGGGUCCGCUUCCACACUGUGGAAGCUUUGCUCUUUCGCUCUUCACAAUAAAUCUUGCGGCUGCUCACUCUUUGGGUCUGCACUACCUUUAUGAGCUGUAACACUCACCAUGAGGGUCUGUGUCUUCAUUCCUUGAAGUCAGUGAGACCACGAACCCACUGGGAGGAACAAACAACUCCAGAUGCGCCACCUUUAAGAGCUGUAACACUCACCGCAAAGGUCUGUGGCUUCACUUCUGAAGUCAGCGAGACCACGAACCCACUGGAAGGAAGAAACUCCAGACACACCAUCUUUAAGAGCUGUAACACUCACCGCAAAGGUCUGUGGCUUCAUUCUCAAAGUCAGUGACACCAAGAACCCACCAGAAGGAAUAAAUUCUGGACACAUUUUGGUGACCACGAAGGGACUAUCACCUAUCGCCAAGUGGAUCGAGGCCAUCAAGCUACAGAUGGUCUUACAAAUGGAACCCCAAAUGAGCUCAACUAACAACUUCUACUAAGGACCCCUGGGCCAACCCACUGGCCCUUUGACUGGCCUAAAGAGUUCCCCUCUGAAGGACACUACAAUUGCAGGGACCCUUCUUUGCCCCUAUCCAGCAGGAAGUAGCUAGAGCGGUCAUUGUCCAAUUCCCAACUGCAGUUGGGGUGUCCUGUUUAGAGGGGGGAUUGAGAGGUGAAGCCAGCUGGACUUCCUGGGUCGAGUGGGGACUUGGAGAACAUUUCUGUCUAGCUAAAGGAUUGUAAAUGCACCAAUGAGCACUCUGUAAAAAUGCACCAAUCAGCGCUCUGUGUCUAGCUGAAAGAUUGUAAAUGCACCAAUCAGCACUCUGUAAAAACAUACCAAUCAGCGCUCUGUGUCUAGCUAAAGGAUUGUAAACGCACUGAUCAGCACUCUGUAAAAUGGACCAAUCAGCGUUCUGUAAAAUGGACCAAUCAGCAGGACAUGGGUGGGGCCAAACAAGGGAAUAAAAGCUGGUCACCCCAGCCAGCAGUGGCAAGCCACUCGGGUCCCCUUCCACACUGUGGAAGCUUUGUUCUUUUGCUCUUCACAAUAAAUCUUGCUGUUGCUCACUUUUUGGGUCUGCACUACCUUUAUGAGCUGUAACACUCACCACAAGGGUCUGCAGCUUCAUUCCUUGAAGUCAGUGAGUCCACAAAUCCACCAGGAUGAACAAACAACUCCGGAUGCACCACCUUUAAGAGCUGUAACACUCACUGCGAAAGUCUGCGGCUUCACUCCUGAAGUCAGCGAGACCAUGAUCCCACUGGAAGGAAGAAACUCCAGGCACAUCUGAACAUCUGAAGGAACAAACUCCAGACACACCAUCUUUAAGAGCUGUAACACUCACCACGAAGGUCUGCAGCUUCAUUCUUGAAGUCAGCGACAUAAGAACCCACUGGAAGGAAUAAAUUCCGGACACAUCAGCACUAUUCAGAGAGGCUGGAAGGUAGUGGUGCAAUCACAGCUUACUGCAGCCUUUACCUCCUGGCUGAAGUGAUCCUUCCACCUCAGCCUCCUGAGUAGCUGAGACUACAGACUAGAGAGGCUCUCCUUCUGGCUUUGAAGAGGUAAGCUGUCAUAUGUGAGGGAGCAUGUGACAAGGAACCAUGCAGAUCUCCACAAAGCUGAGAGAAGCCUCUGGUUGACAGCCAGCAAGGAAGAGGAGAUCUCAGUCCUGCAACUACAUAGAACCAAAUUCUGUCAACGCCGACUUGACCUUGAGCUCCAGAAAGGAAUGCUGUAUGGAUGACAUCUAACUGGUUUGGCUCAGGGUCUCAUUGCAGCUUUGUGAGAACUUCAGCAAAACCAGUUAGGUUGUACCCAGAAUCCUUA